CGAAGGGUGCAAGCGUUAUUCGGAAUCAUUGGGCGUAAAGCGCGCGCAGGCGGAUCAGCAAGUCAGAUGUGAAAUCUCAGGGCUCAACCCUGAAACUGCGUCUGAAACUGCUAGUCUAGAGUGUCGGAGGGGGUAGGGGAAUUUCACGUGUAGGGGUAAAAUCCGUAGAGAUGUGAAGGAACACCGGGGGCGAAGGCGCCUACCUGGACGACUACUGACGCUGAGGCGCGAAAGCGUGGGGAGCAAACAGGAUU
rnacentral:rRNA from 1 species